GAUGAACGCUAGCGGCAGGCCUAACACAUGCAAGUCGAGGGGCAGCACGAUUGAGCUUGCUUAAUUGGUGGCGACCGGCGCACGGGUGCGUAACGCGGAUGCAACCUACCUUAUACUGGGGUAUAGCCCGGAGAAAUUCGGAUUAAUCCCCCAUAGCAUUAUCGAUUCGCAUGUUUUGAUAAUUAAAGGUUACGGUAUCAGAUGGGCAUGCGUCCUAUUAGCUAGAUGGUGAGGUAACGGCUCACCAUGGCGACGAUAGGUAGGGGGCCUGAGAGGGUGGUCCCCCACACUGGUACUGAGACACGGACCAGACUCCUACGGGAGGCAGCAGUGAGGAAUAUUGGUCAAUGGGCGCAAGCCUGAACCAGCCAUGCCGCGUGCAGGAAGACGGUCCUAUGGAUUGUAAACUGCUUUCAUUUGGGAAUAAACUCCGGUACGUGUACCGGCCUGAAGGUACCAAAUGAAUAAGCACCGGCUAACUCCGUGCCAGCCGCCGCUGUAACAC
rnacentral:rRNA from 1 species